CAGGUAAUCAUGUAAAGCAGCUGGCUAAUUUCCACACAAAAGCGAUUCGCCAUUAAAGAGUGGCGCUGUGGCCCCGUUCAAAUACACGAGUACAUCCAAGGCGUCUUUGCGUCACACUUCAGGGAGGUAAACACAGCAGUCAAGUGGAGAGGACGCUGAGUCAAGCGUGAAGAUCAAUCUACCUGCGUCAGGGCCAGCACCCACCUGCUCCCAGGUGUCACCAUCCAAUGUCCAUGAAGGGAAAGAGUUUCCACACAGUAUUCUGGACAUCUGUGUUGGUGAAUCUUUUGCAAUGGAGACUGCAAAGAAGAAAGCUGUAAGUGGGAUCGGUGUAUUAGCGGUGGACUACAGCAACACAACCAGGAGGACUUUGAGAUGGAUAGCAGACCC